rnacentral:lncRNA from 1 species
GGCAUCUCGAAUUAAAAAAAAAAAUGAUAUAAAGUAUUUUAUUUUAGUAUCUUAUUUUACAAACCAUACAGUUUAUUUUAAUAUUUUAAAAUAAAUAUUAUCAUGCUAAAAUGUUUUUGUAAAAAAUUUUAGAAGUUAAGGGCAAAAUGGACAUUUUGAUCAUAUUUAUGAUAAUCUAAAUAUUUUGUUAUUCUCUAAUAAAGAGAUGAAUAGGAAGGGUAAGGGUAUAAUAUUUGAAAAAUAAUAAGUAUUUGCAGAGGUAUUUGUAAUAUAAUCAAAUUUAUAGAGGCAUCUCUGAUAUUUUUGAAGUUUAGAGGGGCACGAAUGAAAUUGACCCUUUUAAUUUUAACCUUCUAAGAAUGAUAAAUAACCGGAAACGUUUUAGAAAUAUAUAGGCAAUUGCUCAUUAUUAUUAUUAUUAUUUUUCCAUAGCCGCUGAGGAGAGAGAAAGAGAUAA